CAGCAGCCGCGGGAAUACGUAGGGUGCAAGCGUUAAUCGGAAUUACUGGGCGUAAAGCGUGCGCAGGCGGUGUUGUAAGACUGAUGUGAAUCCCCGGGCUCAACCUGGGAACUGCAUGGGUGACUGCAACGCUGGAGUGCGGCAGAGGGGGAUGGAAUUCCGCGUGUAGCAGUGAAAUGCGUAGAUAUGCGGAGGAACACCGAUGGCGAAGGCAAUCCCCUGGGCCUGCACUGACGCUCAUGCACGAAAGCGUGGGGAGCAAACAGGAUUAGAUACCCGCGUAGUCCCUGUCUCUUAUACA
rnacentral:rRNA from 1 species